GUAGUCCCUCCUCUGAAUGCCAAUUGACCAAAAUAAGGAGGAGCCUCACCAAAUAAGGAGGCCCAAACAGUUGGUGCUGCGCCCGUGUGUACAUUCUCCUGUCCCUGCCAGCCAUGGAGGCUUGGAGGAGGAACGCCCUGCGCUCUGCGCUUCUCGUGCUGCUCGUCGUCGUUUCAUGCGGGGUGUCGAGGGCCGAGGGGGAGAGGGAGUGCUGGAGCAUGGACAUGGGGUACGGCGUGUGCGUGAAGCCCGCCGGGUGCAGAGCUGCCUGCCAUGCCCUCGGCAAGAACGACGGCCAGUGCAACGGGGUCUACAUCUGGCCGGUGUGCGAGUGCCUGUCUCCACACUGCCACUAGCUAGUAGGAUUGGACUGGUGGCAGCCCGCCUCGUCGCCUCGUCCGUCCGCCGUCAGUUGAGCACCUCCGCUUGAGCAGCUGCAGCCUGCGACGUCGUAGCAAGUUACGUAUACGGCUAGCUAGGCGUGCGUUUGCGUUUGUUUCCCGCCCGUGGCGUACAAAAACUUGAAGUAUGGUUUGAGGCAUCCCCGCCCUUUUGGCCCGCGCAUUGCUGUUUAUUUUAUAAAUGCCCACACAAGUACAUAUUGGUUCACUUGAUAAAAACUUGAUCUCAAAGAUUUGGCAUGCUUGAACCACCGUCUCUGAUACAAUUGUUAU